AACGAACGCUGGCGGCAUGCCUAACACAUGCAAGUCGAACGAGACCUUCGGGUCUAGUGGCGCACGGGUGCGUAACGCGUGGUAACCUGCCCUUAGGUUCGGAAUAACUCCCCGAAAGGGGUGCUAAUACCGGAUAAUGUCUUCGGACCAAAGAUUUAUCGCCUUUGGAUGGGCCCGCGUUGGAUUAGCUAGUUGGUAGGGUAAAAGCCUACCAAGGCGACGAUCCAUAGCUGGUCUGAGAGGAUGAUCAGCCACACUGGGACUGAGACACGGCCCAGAAUACUACGGGAGGCAGCAGUGGGGAAUAUAGGAAAAUGGGGGAAAGCCUGAUCCAGCAAGGCCGCGUGAGUGAUGAAGGACUUAGGGUAGUAAAGCUCUUUUACAAGGGAUGAGAAUGACAGUACCGGGAGAAUAAGCACCGGCUAACUCCGUG
rnacentral:rRNA from 1 species